ACAAAAUAUAGAAAUCCAAUUCCUUUUUAGGAAAGGAACCAGACAGUUAGUAGUAUAUCAUAGUAAGUCAUAGAUAUUCUGUUUAAGGGGGACCAUAUUUUCAUUGCAGAACUUUACUUUGGUGGGGAAGCAGGUAAAGAAUUGUUUUUUAUAAUACGCAUUAUAUUUAGAUCAAUUGUAUUUUGAAUCUAAACUUCACGAUUAGUGGCUUUUGGGCUAAUCUUAAUUUUUGUUUUUGCACUCAAGCGUGCGCACACAUCCAUAUCGGUGUGCCAUACAAU
rnacentral:lncRNA from 1 species